UACAGAGGUCUCAAGCGUUGUUCGGAUUCAUUGGGCGUAAAGGGUGCGUAGGUGGCGCUGUAAGUCAGGGGUGAAAUCCUGGAGCUCAACUCCAGAACUGCCUUUGAUACUGAGGAUCUUGAGUUCGGGAGAGGUGAGUGGAACUGCGAGUGUAGAGGUGAAAUUCGUAGAUAUUCGCAAGAACACCAGUGGCGAAGGCGGCUCACUGGACCGGUACUGACGCUGAGGCGCGAAAGCGUGGGGAGCAAACGGG
rnacentral:rRNA from 1 species